rnacentral:pre_miRNA from 1 species
AUCUGCCAGUUACUCUGUAAGCCCGAGUAUGCCUACGGGGCAGCUGGCAGCAUCC